rnacentral:rRNA from 1 species
GACGAACGCUGGCGGCGUGCUUAACACAUGCAAGUCGAGCGAACAGACGAGGAUCUUGCUCCUCUGACGGGAGCCGCGGGCGGGUGAGUAACACGUGUAUAACCUAUCUAUAAGACUGAGAUAACUUCGAGAAACGGGAGCUUAUACCGGAUACUAUAUUGAACUGCAGGGUUCAGUAGGUAAAGGCAGUUUUGCUGUCAGUUAUAGAUGGAGCCGCGCCGCAUUAUCUAGUUGGUAUGGUAGCGGGUUACCAAGGCAACGAGGCGUAGCCGACCGGAGGGGGUGAUCGGCGACACUGGAACUGAGACACGGUCAAGACUCCCACGGGAGGCAGCGGUAGGGAAGCUUGCGAGAUGGGAGAAAGCGUGACGGAGCAACGCCGCGUGAGUGAGGGAGGUCUUCGGAUCGUAAAACUGUGUUCCUAUGGAAGACAAAGUGUGUACGUAACUAUGCUCGUCGUGACGGUAGUUGAUGAAAAAGCCCCGGCUAACUACGUG